CAAAGCACCAGGGCUGGGCCGCCCUCGAGGGCCCCAGCGGCGCCAGGCAUUGUGGGACUUCACUGUGGCCUCCUGGCUCCUGGACAGCCUCCCUGCAGCUGGGGGCCUCAUUCCCAGGAGCGUUCCCAGCCCAGCAAUGUCAGCAGGGGCUCAGUAAAUGCAGUUCUUAUCACGAGUGCCGAUGAAGUCCCCGUGGAGUGCAGGGGUGGCCUGAGGGACUGCAGCGGAGGACGACUAGGAGCUGGAUGGCCAAGGGCGAGUGUGACUGGACCAGGCGCAGGAAGGAUUCAUCUGUUAUGGAUUGAGGUGUGUCUUCCAGAACCAUAUGAUAUGUUGAAGUCCUCACACUGAGUACCACAGAACGUGACGAUUUGGACACGCGGUUGCUGCGGAUGUCACCAGUUCAGAUGAGGACAGACUAAUGGGGGGGGCAGAGGGGGCCUGGAUCCAAUAUGGCUGGAUACCCAUGAAGGCCCGGGCUGACGGCCACCAGCGGCAGCUGGGGAGGGGCGAGGAAGGACUGGACUUGGCUGUCAGGGGGACACGGCUCCAGGUACCCUGGUCAGUCUGCUGGCCUUCGGAGCUGGAGACAAACAGCCCGCUGGGCUACGGCACUCAGUUUGUGAUACUUUGUCACAGAAGUUCUAAGAAACAAAGAGAACAUUGGAGUUAAAUCACACUGGAUUUUUGCUUGUUUAGACCCUGUGCUCCCCUCUGAAGGAGGGUAUUUUUCUAGAAUGGACACAGAGCACUCCCCAGGGCAGUGCUUCAGGGACUCUGCUGGCCUGGCCCCCAGCUCCGCAGGCCUCCCCUGGCCCAGCCUCCUGCUGCCCCCCCCCACCCCAGCACCUGUUCCCACUUCCCCUUCCUCAGUGGAGCAGGUCGGAGCAGGUGGCCGGGUUUCAAAUCCUGCCUCUGCUGCUUCCUGGCAUCUGGAAACAUCACUCGGGCAAGUUCUGAUCUCUCGAGGCCUCAGUGUCCCCACCUGGGAAAUGGGCCCCCAUGGGGGGCCUUUCGAGGGCUGAGUCCUUCCCUCUGGGUGGCAGUGAGCACUGGAGGGCUGUCACGGUUCCCUCCCUCCUGCUCGGCUUCCAGGCGCCUCCCUGGUGGCCGCCCCCGACCCCACUGGAUGGUGUCACCCAGGAGCAUCGCACCUGCCUCCUCCUGUCUCCACCUGUGCGCCUCCCCUGGUGGAGAAGGGGGGACUGCAGCCCCAUGUCUGAGCACACAGUAGGUGCUUCGGAAAUAUUUAUUUACGAAGUGGAGCAGAAUAUUGGCAGUGACCCCAGAGGCUCCGGGACGGCUGUCGCAGGACGGCCUGCCCCUCCUCUGGAACUGAAAGUGGGAGAAAGUGAGCCCCAGGACAGGGCGCGGCGGGACGGGCACGACCCCAGGCCUGCUCCAGCUCGGGGACCUGGCCCCCAGCUCCGCACAUCCUGCCUCCUGUGUGACCCCACAUGCUGUCACCCACGCACACCCCCCAGUCCCCAGGCAGCAGCUUCCUCUGACACACACUUUCCACCGCUGGGUGAGCUGGGUGCGGCAGAGCAGGUUGCAGAUGACAACAAUCUCCAAGGUCCCUUCCCUGGUCCUCCCCACCACACCCCCUCCCCGUCCUGCUUGGCUCCUGUCCCUGCUGAACUGACCCGUCUGGAGCCCCGGACUUCAAUGGCACAGGAUCCACUGGAGGCCUAGAUGGCUACAUGAGGUGUCAGAAAUGUCUUGGACCAGGGACAGGAUGUAGAGUCAGGACCGUGGUCACCAUGUGACUCUGGGCAAGCCGUGCAGGUCCAGUCCCCUGGGGUUGCUGUAGGGCUGACACCAACAGUCCAGGGAGUGCCACCAUCCCUGCUCAUCUGAUCAUGUGUGGGGACAGCACAGGGGCCCCGCAGAUGUCGGGAAGGUCCCCUGCUCUGGGCCCAGCACUGAGUCAGGUGCUGGGGGUUUCGAGAGCGAUCUGACACCAGCUGAGCUGAUGUGGGGGAGAGAAGGGUAGAGUCAAGGGACGAGGUCACCAGACUCACUUCUGACCCCCUUAACUCUGCAUGGGACUUUCUGGAGCCUACAAUAAAGGUACCAACCCUGAUGCCUUCCA